rnacentral:lncRNA from 1 species
ACACCUUAAUGAACGCCCGCCAUGAGUGGAUUUCACAGGAUAUGGGAUUCAGCACCCGGUGAAUGUUUUAAAUGGAUGGAGGCUGAAUGGGACAAAGAUGUGCGCCAGUCUCCCGAUGCCUGUCACGUUGAUGCACUUCUGCGCAUAAGUGAUGACGUGUCUGCCAGAGACCGGGAGGAGGAGGAUGUGUAUCCACCAACAGGCUGGGACGAAGCUGUUUGUGCUUGGGGGGAAGGGUCCCCCCUCGCUUGCUUGUUUCGAGCGCAAAUGAAAGGAAGACAGGUUGACACCUGCAGAUCUGGCCUUCAUUGCCUUCUUUGCGCUGACAUGAAACUUCCUGAAGUCGGUUGUCACGGAUCGCAGAAGGAAGCAGCAAAUACAGCCCCUCCAACCUCCGGACGCCCCAGUAGCACAUCAUCCUCAUCCUCCUCGGGCAAAGAGUCUCCAGUUUCCGAUGGCCGGCGAACAAACACCACAACCCAAACAGAAGCUAAGGACUUUUCAUUGACAGGGAGACCGCAGAACAUUAAUGAGUAUAUUGCUUGCCCCAGCGUCUCCCCCUGCACUGCCGACCAGCGUCCCACCAUGAAAGAUGAUACAAGACGGAAUUCCACUUUUAACAUUAGCAGUUUUGCCGUUCUUCCACCGCUAGGGUCGUCUGCACCUGGAUCUGAGGUCCUCUUGAAACCCAGCACAGCAGAAAUGGUGACUGUUGAUACGUUGCUGGGUGAUUCCUCAGCUCUUGCCUCCUUUAGGGAGAGCAGUGGGAAAGAAGAGAAGAGGAGAACAGAAGUUCACCCGAACAGAGUGCUAACAGGUGACGGCUGCAUCUCCAAAAUGUGGACAUCUCAGCACAACCAUAACCUGCUCUCUGCUGUAAACUUACCCAAGAGGCAUUUGUUGCCCUUCAGCACUCCAGGGGACACUCUGGCCCGGGUCGGUGGCCACCUCAGGCAAGAAGAUCCUGCUAGAAUGUUAGCCAGGACCAACAGUGGGCGCAGACUCUAUUCUAGCUCUAGGCCAAAGAGCCAGAGACAGGCCGAACCACAGCUACCCAUGUUGUUUGGGACAAGAGUCCCCAUCCCGGUCUCCACUCACCGUCUGCUCUGAGUAGCAAUGUUUAUCCAUUUCACAGUACCAAUCUCCACAUUGUACAGGAGCAAUAAAGCCACGUAUUGCUUACUUUAGGUUGCCA